rnacentral:lncRNA from 1 species
ACCCACGUCCUCUUAAUUAAUUAAUUCUUAAUUAAUUCAUUCAUUAGGAUCCCUCUCUCUCUCUUUUAUGUACAAUUAAUCCUGAGUGAGAUAUUAUUAUUAUUAUUACCUUUAUUAUUAUUAUAUAUUAUUAUUAUUAUUAUUAUAUGUACCGCGAGUAAUAUAUAAUAAUAAUAAUAAUGAUAGAUCUAUAUAUAUCUUGUGUAGGUGUAUAAAGAAUUGGGCUGGAAUGCUAUUGAUAGCAAAAGAUGCUUUUUGCUAUCAAGUUUUUAACCCUUAGAUGAGAAAUUGUAGAGUUAGGAUGAUAUUAGUUAGUUAGGGUUGAGUGGUCCCCCUAGGGUUGAGUGGUCCCCACUGGGUUAUAAUAUUUAAUCCAAUGGUUAGAAAUGAUGAAAGAAGUUGAUCCAAAGGCUAAAAACUUGGUAGCAAAAAAAGCCUUUUGCUACUAAUAGUAUUCUAGCCCAACUCGGUGUAUAAAUAUCUUGUCGAACUUGUUCAAAUAUUAAAGUGAUUAAUUUCUGAAGUAAAU